GUUUUCACAAAGGCCACUUUUGCAGGAUGGGAAUGGCAUCUAAAAGGAAAAAAACAAUGAGUAGUGAAGGUCCAGUUAAGAUUGUAGGAAUUAACCAUGGAGUAUGUCUGCAUCAUUUCUUGUUGAUGGAUGGAUGGAAGGAAAAAAGAACAAUUCACUGAUGUUAACAUUUUUUUGCCAGUCUCCAGAUGACAAUAAUGAACAACACAGCUUACAAAACAAGCUCCGUGCUAACAGACGUGUUCUUGCUGCUGCCAGCCGGUUCUUUUCCAUCCUGUUACCUGAUUGUGAGUUAGACCUAGAUGUCUGCAUCUCAAUUGAUCUGAGCUUUGAAGAACUGUUUUGUGUUCUUGAGUACAUCUAUUCUGGGAAGCUGCUGUGUUCAGUCAAAAGCAAAGACAGAAUUUUAAGUAUUCUAAAAGAAUUUGAUAUUUUCGUGCCUGAUGAUCUACAGAAUUCAGUAGACUGUGGAAGAAAUGGAAGUAGUGAGGCAGAAGGGGAAAUAAUAUUUGAAGAAGCCAUUGCAAGUGAACCAAAAACUACUAAAGAUCCCACAAACAUUUCAGAGGAUAAAUCUCCCUUUGCAACUUCUGCCGAUGUUCGUGUAGUAAAUAGUGGAGAACUAAUUUUACGAGAACCCAAUAUUUCAAGCUCCAAUGAAGAUCCCUUCCAGUAUGAAGAAAAGCUUCCAGAAAAAUUCUCAAACAGUCAUAAGAUGUAUAGCAACAAAAGUAAAACUCAUUGUGGAUCAAAAAUGGCUAUUCUGAAUUCAAGCACCAAUGUUACUGAAACCAUUGUUGAACCGGAAAUCUCCAGACAUAAAGAUCCGGUCUUCACCGUAGUCACCAACCAACCCACUUCGCUGGAAGAAACGCUUGAAAGUAUCGUAUGGUCAGAGAUUGUAGCGGUUGAACCUCAAGAUAACCCAUCGCUAAGUAAUUGUGAUGUGCAUAGAAGUAGUGUAGAAGAUGAAUGGACUAUUCAGCAAAUACCGGAUAGGCAGACCGUUACGCUGCAGUUCCCUGCCCAGAUUCUUGGCAGUACGACUUUGAGCGCACUAAAAAAGGGAAAAAGAAGAAAAUUACAUUUGUUGAGGAAGAGACUGAAGACAGUGACCAAGAUCCCGAAGAUCAAGACCAAGAAGAUUCUCUUGGUUACGAAGAAAAUGAUGAAGUCAAAAGUAAAUCAGCAGUACAAACAUCUAACCAGUCUGACGAUCAAAGUAAUGGUUUUGAACCUCCGCUCAACUUUGAAGUAGCUGCAAAAAAGCUGGAUUCGUGUUUAGAUCAAAGUACAUCUACCCUAAGAUCGGAUGUGAAGCCUAGUUUGAAAGGAAUCGGAUGUUCUAGUUCACUUGAGGAUCUCACUCCAAACCUGGACGUGAGUGAUAGUGCUGAAGAAGAAGAAGAUAUUAUUCCUAAGUUGAAGUGCACACAAAACAAUGAAACCUCAAACGUCGAAGAACUAUUGGCCCUCUGCUCGGGAAAAUUCCCUGAUUCACUGACUUUCUGGAAGAGACACGCAAAUAAGUAGUUUGACUGAAAAUGCAGAUGACGAAUCUGAUGAAGAAGUUAAGCCGUUCGCAAGAAUAAUUCCAAUGGCUGAUGAGGAUGACGAGGAAGAUGGCUCCAGUAGUGCUCUCCCAAAAUUCGUUUCUGAAAAUGACGCUGAUGAACCUGGAACUGUGCCUUCUUUUUUUAGAGGAUGGAGAAAAAUCACUGUCAAAGGUGAAAAAAAGGGCCCGUGUUUGUCUGUCAGAUGACGAAGAUGAAACUAUCGAUGAAAACCAUUCGUUUGUCGAAGAAGAGGGAAUGCAUGAAGAGGAACGAGAAUUUAGAGGUCUGACUGAGUUUUUUGAAGACGAGGCUGAACUGUCCGGUUCCGAAGUUGGCAGCGGUGACGAACGAGAAGACGAAAUGGAUGACUGGGAGGAGGAGGAAGGCGAUAAGGAGGAUAUUGAUGAAAACGAAGUUCGUGAGCAAGUUGGAAGAGCCCAUAUGAAGACAAUGCUUGAUCAAGACCAGCGUGAAGUUCGACUUUUUCAAGAGCUUUUUCUCGAAGAUGGAGAUUUGCAUUCUGAUGGCGGUGGAAGGCAAAGACAAUUUCGGUGGAAACAGGCUGAUGGUGAAAAUACUGAGGGAGACGGUGCCCGUCCAAAAAAUCAAGAAGAUGAAGAAGAUGAAGCUGCUGAAGAACAGGAUGAUCUCACAUGGAGAAAAAUUCACAGUGAUAGAGAAAAAUGGCUCCUGCAACAAAAGUCGCAACAGGAAACGAAUAAAGAAGUGCCAUUGGUUAUGAGCCGGCAAACUAAAAUGGUGAAAAUCAACACUGCUUCCAAAACCAUUAAUCAAAUUACAGAAGGCGAUUCCUCCGCUGCUACUGCCAACGCCAAGCAGUCAACGCAUUCUAAGGCGAACAUUGUGACCACUGUAGGUUACUUUUACAAAGUGCUUAACACAUUGUAGAGAUCAGCGCUUAUAUACUUUCCUACUUGGUGGAAAUGAUAUGAUCCUUCGAUAUGGUGAAGAUGAAGAAGGACGAGUUUUUUUGUUAUGUUUUUGUAUUCUUGGAUCCAAAUGUACGGAUGGCUUUUCUUCUUCCCUGUCGCUCGCAGUCUGUCUGCCUCUCUGUGCAGUGUUUGUCACACAACUCCCGCGAGGGGAGGAGGGGCUCCCAAGUUGCCGCUACGUCUUCCCUGCGCUUUAUCAGUACUGUAGUACGAGACUUCUUUUUUUUUUCUUUUGGUGGAGGGGAAAGGUUUAUUUAUUCAAGAGCCAGAGUUGAGUAAUGCUAGAUGACGGGGCUUGCAGAGGUCGGCUACUGCUGUAGUAUUAUAUUAGCGAAUAGAGUAAAAGUAAAGUACUAAAAGAAAAAAAAGUACAGUACACUCAAUAUUCGAGGUAAAUACUGAUGUUGACAAUCAUCACAAUCUAUUCGCCGACAUAAAGCAAAUAGACACUUGCACCGCGCCCGAGCAGUUCAACUUUUCUAUCUCUGUGAUUUCGGUAGUUCCAGAGUGCACAGUCGAAUAUUGUGUGUUGUGCUUCUCGUUUUCAACAACAAGAAUUGUGGAUUUUUUCAUUCUCGAGCUAAAUUAAAUUUGUGUAAAUGAUUGGCAACAUGUAACUCUUGAAUUUGUGAGAAAGUCCUUCUUUUUGAACCGCCAUUUAAUCAGUACUACCUGUUUCACCUGAAACUUACAGGAUGCCGUCGGCUCCAGCUCAUAAUUAUGAGGCAGAUAGCAUUUCAAAAAUCUCAUGAAUCGUUAGGUCGUCGUAGUGUUUUGUAUGACUAUAAAUUUACGUAAGCUGAAAUUCAACAUCCUUGAUGACUUGAUUUUGUGCGCCAGAUCCCAUACUACGCCAAAUCAUCUCACCUGCAUUCCAGCAAGUGAAAAGCUUUGUUCUUGAGCUUUGUUCUUGAUGCUUUGACCAGUUUCGACAUGAACGGCAGACUGGUUAAGACAAGAGUUUCACGAUCCUGCUCGUUCCUGCGUUGGGUAAACUUGUUAUGCAAAAAUGAUCCACCAGGGUCGUUUCCAAUCGCCUAUGACCCUGUCUGAGAGAACCUUGAAAUCGAAAUUCCCCGCAUUGCUGGGAACAGACCAAUAUCAAAGACUGCUAUUUACCUGUCAACAGUUUCAUUCUAUACUGAACAGAUGCAUGCAUGUGCGUGAAUAAAUAUUCGGGUAAAGAUUAAAUAACGAUCAUUGUUACACAUUAUUUAUCCUUGAAUUGUUAUUCACGCACAUGCAGGCUUUAUUUAAAUGAGCUAUAUCUAAGAAUGAAUAAAAAAGUGGGAUCAUCGGUCAAAUUAUCGGCCACAGGCCAGCCAUAGCCAUAGGCAUAGGUAAUCCGUUCAUUCACCUAGCUUCCUCCAUUAAGGGGUACAGCGUUCGAAUCGCAAUCGUGCAGCAAUCUAGCCAAGGUGAUUCAGACUACAUAUGGAACCCUACACAGUCUUGAAGCCCUUUUCGACCUGGAAUUAGCGUCAGACAAUGGUCCGAUCCAGGUCCUGAUAAACUAGCCACCACCACGACUCCACGACGACCUUAUACCAUUCGCACAUUUCUGCACCUAUGGUAUUCCACAGUAUAUGUUAUUUGAUGGUUAUAUUGAUCCUUACGAUAGUCUUGAAGCCAUUUUCGACCUGGAAUUAGCGUCAGACAAUCUCCAAAUGGUCCGACAACGUCCAUCACCAUAUAGCCACCAUUUAUCAUAUACUGUGGUAUCCCACAGUAACGGUGCUAGCGAACCAACACCGUUACUAUACUUGGAAUGUUUUAUCAAGUCUUUUAUACUGUUAAAUAGAUGUUGGAAAACAGCUACUGUCCGUUUUGGCAUCUGUUGGACCUUUAUGUUGGAUUUGGUAAAUGAGAUAGACUAAAUUGACGAAAAUAAAAAAUGAACAAUUUUC
rnacentral:misc_RNA from 1 species